GACAGAGGGUGCAAACGUUGCUCGGAAUUACUGGGCGUAAAGCGCACGUAGGCGGCUUUCUAAGUCGGGGGUGAAAUCCUGGAGCUCAACUCCAGAACUGCCUUCGAUACUGGAGAGCUCGAGUCCGGGAGAGGUGAGUGGAACUGCGAGUGUAGAGGUGAAAUUCGUAGAUAUUCGCAAGAACACCAGCGGCGAAGGCGGCUCACUGGCCCGGUACUGACGCUGAGGUGCGAAAGCGUGGGGAGCAAACAGG
rnacentral:rRNA from 1 species